CGCGGCCUAUCAGCUUGUUGGUGGGGUAAAGGCCNAGCAAGGCGACGACGGGUAGCCGGCCUGAGAGGGCGACCGGCCACACUGGGACUGAGACACGGCCCAGACUCCUACGGGAGGCAGCAGUGGGGAAUAUUGCACAAUGGGGGAAACCCUGAUGCAGCGACGCCGCGUGAGGGAUGACGGCCUUCGGGUUGUAAACCUCUUUCAGUAGGGAAGAAGCCUUUCGAGGUGACGGUACCUGCAGAAGAAGUACCGGCUAACUACGUGCCAGCAGCCGCGGUAAUACGUAGGGUACAAGCGUUGUCCGGAAUUAUUGGGCGUAAAGAGCUCGUAGGCGGUCCGUCGCGUCUGCUGUGGAAACGCAAGGCUCAACCUUGCGCGUGCAGUGGGUACGGGCGGACUAGAGUGCAGUAGGGGAGUCUGGAAUUCCUGGUGUAGCGGUGAAAUGCGCAGAUAUCAGGAGGAACACCGGUGGCGAAGGCGGGACUCUGGGCUGUUGCUGACGCUGAGGAGCGAAAGCAUGGGGAGCGAACAGGAUUAGAUACCCUGGUAGUCCAUGCCGUAAACGUUGGGCACUAGGUGUGGGGCUCAUUCCACGAGUUCCGCGCCGCAGCUAACGCAUUAAGUGCCCCGCCUGGGGAGUACGGCCGCAAGGCUAAAACUCAAAGGAAUUGACGGGGGCCCGCACAAGCGGCGGAGCAUGCGGAUUAAUUCGAUGCAACGCGAAGAACCUUACCAAGGCUUGACAUACACCGGAAUGUGCCAGAGAUGGUUCAGCCCUUUGGGCUGGUGUACAGGUGGUGCAUGGUUGUCGUCAGCUCGUGUCGUGAGAUGUUGGGUUAAGUCCCGCAACGAGCGCAACCCUCGUUCUAUGUUGCCAGCACGUGAUGGUGGGAACUCAUAGGAGACUGCCGGGGUCAACUCGGAGGAAGGUGGGGAUGACGUCAAAUCAUCAUGCCCUUUAUGUCUUGGGCUUCACGCAUGCUACAAUGGUCGGUACAAAGGGUUGCGAGACCGUGAGGUGGAGCGAAUCCCAGAAAGCCGAUCUCAGUUCGGAUCGUAGUCUGCAACUCGACUACGGAAGUCGGAGUCGCUAGA
rnacentral:rRNA from 1 species